GCACUGGUUGUUCAGUCGCAUAAUUCUCACCUUCCAGGCGAGAGACCUGGGUUUGAUUCCUGGCCAAUGCA
rnacentral:tRNA from 1 species